UACAAGGAAAAUCCGUUGACCGACUCACAA
rnacentral:piRNA from 1 species